rnacentral:rRNA from 1 species
UACGGAAGGCAGCAGUGGGGAAUAUUGCACAAUGGGCGCAAGCCUGAUGCAGCCAUGCCGCGUGUAUGAAGAAGGCCUUCGGGUUGUAAAGUACUUUCAGUCGUGAGGAAGGUGUUAAGGUUAAUAACCUUAGCAAUUGACGUUAGCGACAGAAGAAGCACCGGCUAACUCCGUGCCAGCAGCCGCGGUAAUACGGAGGGUGCGAGCGUUAAUCGGAAUUACUGGGCGUAAAGGGCACGCAGGCGGUUAAUUAAGUUGGAUGUGAAAUCCCCGGGCUUAACCUGGGAAUGGCAUUCAAGACUGGUUAGCUAGAGUCUUGUAGAGGGGGUAGAAUUCCAUGUGUAGCGGUGAAAUGCGUAGAGAUGUGGAGGAAUGCCGGUGGCGAAGGCGGCCCCUGGGACAAAGACUGACGCUCAUGUGCGAAAGCGUGGGGAGCAAACAGGGAUUAGGAUACC